rnacentral:rRNA from 1 species
AGUGAACGCUGGCGGUAGGCCUAACACAUGCAAGUCGAACGGCAGCACAGUAAGAGUUUGCUCUUCCGGGUGGCGAGUGGCGGGCGGGUGAGGUAUACAGCGGAAUCUACUUUUUCGUGGGGGAUAACGUAGGGACACUUACGAUAAUACCGCAUACGACCUACGGGUGAAAGCAGGAGAUCUUCGGAUCUUGCGCGCUUGUAUGAGCCGAUGUCGGAUUAGCUAGUUGGCGGGGUAAAGGCACACCAAGGCGACGAUCCGUAGCUGGUCUGAGAGGAUGAUCAGCCACACUGGAACUGAGACACGGUCCAGACUCCUACGGGAGGCAGCAGUGGGGAAUAUUGGACAAUGGGCGCAGGCCUGAUCCAGCCAUGCCGCGUGUGUGAAGAAGGCCUUCGGGUUGUAAAGCCCUUUUGUUGGGAAAGAAAAGAAGAAGGUUAAUACCCCGCUGUUUUGACGGUACCCAAAGAAGAAGCACCGGCUAACUUCGUG